rnacentral:sRNA from 1 species
GCUUUCCAAAAACACCUUUACGGCAUGCAGGCAUAAAGGGAUUCUUUGAAAGUCUAUGUUCUGUAAUGGUGGAAGUUCUCUUGAAGAUUAGUAUUAAAAUAAAAACUAAAAAGUUCAAAUGUCUUCAAUACUAGAGACCUGUGAUUUGACAGUACAACAUGGAGCAAUUGUAAAGGACACAUAAUUUGUACAUUAUUGAAUAUCAAUAUAUAGUUAUCCAUAACUUACUGGGCUUUUACAUUGUAUUGUAACUCUCAACAUUUGCAUAUAUGUUUGAUCUUUGUAAAAUAUGUUAUAGUAAGUAAAUACAUUCUUUCUAAGUUUUAAACAUUUGUCAACAAAAUAUAUGAACUGCAAUCUGAGGAUCAAUUAGAGGUCUGCAAUUCUCCACAUAUGAAAUGACUUUGAAAUCAUCCUGUUACUGUUAAACUGGAGAAUAUAUUAAGAAAACAUCAAAAUAUCUUUAUUGAAUACCUUUUUUACAACACAUUGUCCAGAUAUUUUGUGAAUUAUUCUAUGAAGCUGAUUUCUCAAUGGCUAUUGCCUCUCAGGUAAGCAAAGUGACACACAUACUACUUGUUUCUGUAAAAUACUGUAAUCAAGUGAUGUACAAAUGUAACUUCUGCAUUUUUGUGAAACAUUAUUGUAAAGAAUAAAAUACUACAGUUUC